rnacentral:rRNA from 1 species
GAUGAACGCUGGCGGCGUGCUUAACACAUGCAAGUCGAACGGUGAAGGCGGAGCUUGCUCUGCUGGAUCAGUGGCGAACGGGUGAGUAACACGUGAGCAAUCUGCCCCUGACUCUGGGAUAAGCGCUGGAAACGGCGUCUAAUACUGGAUACGAGCUGCGAAGGCAUCUUCAGCAGCUGGAAAGAACUUCGGUCAGGGAUGAGCUCGCGGCCUAUCAGCUUGUUGGUGAGGUAACGGCUCACCAAGGCGUCGACGGGUAGCCGGCCUGAGAGGGUGACCGGCCACACUGAGACUGAGACACGGCCCAGACUCCUACGGGAGGCAGCAGUGGGGAAUAUUGCACAAUGGGCGAAAGCCUGAUGCAGCAACGCCGCGUGAGGGACGACGGCCUUCGGGUUGUAAACCUCUUUUAGCAGGGAAGAAGCGAAAGUGACGGUACCUGCAGAAAAAGCGCCGGCUAACUACGUG